UACCAUACAGUGUCUUCCAUGAAGUAGGUGUCCUAUAAGAUUAAUCUGACGUGUAAGUGAAUGAAGAAAAUGGCAGUGUUCCUGAGCAUGCACCUGGAAGAAGGCGGUGGGAACUUGGCUCCAUCUGUUCCUCUCCUUUACCCAGGCUUCUAGGAACAUCAAUUCCUGACUGUAUCGUCUUGGGCAUAUUGCUUAAUUUCUCUGGACCUUAAAUACCUACUGAAAACACCUAGAAAAGUUCUGGGCAGAAAGAUGUUGAUCAACAAAGAUGGAUUUCCUCACCCCAGCCUUUCUUCCAGCACUGAACUGUAGGAAAGCAAUCUGCUCAACCAUUCACAGACUGAUCACUAAGAAUCUGCAAGUAGUGCCCCAACAUUUUGUCCUAAAGGCAAAAACAAUUGGGCAGUUUGUACCAUGCAAACUUUUAUGUCGGCUGUACCAUGGAUGAGUCUAUCGCUGGGUCAUCGGGCAUUCUGAUGGCUGAAAAAGGUGAAAGUUGGUGACAUCACUGUAAGAAG
rnacentral:lncRNA from 1 species